UUAAAUUGAAGAGUUUGAUCAUGGCUCAGAUUGAACGCUGGCGGCAGGACUAACACAUGCAAGUCGAACGGUAACAGGAAGCAGCUUGCUGCUUUGCUGACGAGUGGCGGACGGGUGAGUA
rnacentral:rRNA from 1 species